UUACAGCCAUAUCAGUUCGAAAACCAAGUUCUUGUAAGAUCACUGAAAUUAAGCAAUGUCGAAUCUGGUCAGUACUUAGAUGGGUGACCGCUUGGGAAUGCCAGGUGUUAUA